rnacentral:lncRNA from 8 species
AGAGAAAAAUGCAGGAGAUCAAGAGAGUCAAACAUCUGCUGGAGCUACUGAUGGUGGAUCUACAACUGGCCCACCAAGAGAUAGAGAGAUUGAGGCUAUGGCAGAAAGUCAUGGAGGAUCAGCGACCAAGACUGGCCUGGAACAACAAACCUAUUGAGACAGAAAGAGAGAGGGAAAGAGAGAGGGAAAGAGAGAGGGAAAGGGAGAUGGAAAGGGAGAGAAAAGCAGAAUUGGAAAGACAAGAAAUGAAGAAGAAAGUGAAACAGGCAGAAGAAACGAUAAAAGCGUUAGAACGAGAGAUUGAGAGAUUGAAAGAGAUUGAAAAGGAGAUAAUAUUUGAAAGAGGAAGAGACAUGCGUAUUGCAGAGAAUGAGAAAGUCAAACUGGUUAACGAAAAGGCAAAAGAGUUAGAGAGAGAGGUUGAGAGACUGAAAGAAGAUAUGACAACAAAAGAAAUGCAAUACAAAAUCAAAUUUGAAAGAGCGAAAGAAGCGUAUAGAAGACAGAAUGAGAGAGUGAAACAGGUUAACCAAAAUGUACUAGUGUUAGACAGAGAGGUUGCGAGAAUGAAAGAAGAGAUUAGAUUGAAAGAUGAGACUGAACCAGAGAGAACAUUUGAUAGAGACAGAGAGAGAGAAAAUGAUUGGAGACGAAGAGAAGAGGAGAUGAAAAAUAGAGUGGAGAGAGAGAUGGAGAUGGAGACAGCCCUCAUCAAUGACAAAAAUACGUCUGAAUUGGAGGAAGUCUUCAAGAAAAUCAAGGAACAGCUGAUAGAAUUAGAAAAUAUGGAAACAGACAAAAAUCUAUGGAAACAGAACCAAAUGGACAUGGAGGAGGAAGAUGACAAGGAGGACAUUCUCCCACCUGAUAAAAGUAUCCGAAGGAGAGCUGUGGACUGGGUGAAUAAGAAGUGGGAGAAGAGGAACCUCAAAAAGAUCGAGAGAACGUAUCAGAGAGAGGCUGAGGAGGGCUAUAAGAUCGUCCACAUAGCCAUCCCUGGACACACAAGGCUAACAUCCACCAUGACCCGGGCAGAGAGAGAGAGGGAGAAGAGGAAGGAGCUGCUGAAGGAUGAGGAGAGAAGGAAGAAGUUGGAGGAUUUCAAUAAGCAGUGGAGAGAGCAGUCCCUGCUUAAAAAAAGGACUCAUCAGAAACUGAAGGAUGAGAGGGAGAGGAUGAAGGAAAAAUUCCUGGAACAGAUGAAUCUGGAGGCUGAUGCUCAAAUCAACACCCGGUGUCCAACCACCCAACACAGCCACGAUUCCAACCACGGUCAGGCAUUGCCCGGAUGGGCCACAGGCCAACAGGUAAGCCAAGAGCCUGUUGGAUCUGGAGAUGGCCAGCAGGAGGGGCCAAGGAGGCAGCAGGCAUGGGCAGAGAACCAGGAGUGGAGUUCAGAGAACCAGCAGGAGUGGAGUUCAGAGAACCAGCAGGAGUGGCCAGAGAACCAGCAGGAGUGGCCAGAGAACCAGCAGGAGUGGCCAGAGAACCAGCAGGAGUGGCCAGAGAACCAGCAGGAGUGGCCAGAGAACCAGCAGGAGUGGCCAGAGAACCAGCAGGAGUGGCCAGAGAACCAGCAGGAGUGGCCAGAGAACCAGCAGGAGUGGCCAGAGAACCAGCAGGAGUGGCCAGAGAACC